UACAGAGGUCUCAAGCGUUGUUCGGAUUCAUUGGGCGUAAAGGGUGCGUAGGUGGCGUCGUAAGUCGGGUGUGAAAUUUCGGAGCUUAACUCCGAAACUGCAUUCGAUACUGCGGUGCUUGAGGACUGGAGAGGAGACUGGAAUUUACGGUGUAGCAGUGAAAUGCGUAGAGAUCGUAAGGAAGACCAGUGGCGAAGGCGGGUCUCUGGACAGCUCCUGACACUGAGGCACGAAGGCCAGGGGAGCAAACGGG
rnacentral:rRNA from 1 species